AGCUUUGCGCAGUGGCAGUAUCAUAGCCAAUGAGGUUUAUCCAAGGGGAGAUUAUUACUUUUCCCAAUAUGUAAAAGCAACAAUCGGAGCAGUUAUGUCAGGCAUGAAAAAUUAGGUUCAUACGUGAA
rnacentral:snRNA from 1 species